UGAUUGGCUGGUUCGAAGACCACAAAAUGUAUGGAGAAGCAAUUCUCUCAAGUUGCGUGGUUCAAAUACAAAGCCAAAAGCAAUUUUUGUUACGACGGUCACUGAUUUUGGUAAACUCUAGCCAUUUCAGUAACUUUUACGUGCAAUUACAUCU